UACGUAGGGGGCAAGCGUUGUUCGGAAUCACUGGGCUUAAAGGGCGCGUAGGCGGGCUGCCGCGUCCGGGGUGAAAUCCCACGGCUCAACCGUGGAACGGCCUCGGAUACGGGCGGCCUCGAGGGGGGUAGGGGCAUCUGGAACUGUGAGUGGAGCGGUGAAAUGCGUUGAUAUUCACAGGAACUCCGGUGGCGAAGGCGAGGUGCUGGACCCCUUCUGACGCUGAGGCGCGAAAGCCAGGGGAGCGAACGGG
rnacentral:rRNA from 1 species